GACGAACGCUGGCGGCGUGCUUAACACAUGCAAGUCGAACGGAAAGGCCCUGCUUUUGUGGGGUGCUCGAGUGGCGAACGGGUGAGUAACACGUGAGUAACCUGCCCUUGACUUUGGGAUAACUUCAGGAAACUGGGGCUAAUACCGGAUAGGAGCUCCUGCUGCAUGGUGGGGGUUGGAAAGUUUCGGCGGUUGGGGAUGGACUCGCGGCUUAUCCGCUUGUUGGUGGGGUAGUGGCUUACCAAGGCUUUGACGGGUAGCCGGCCUGAGAGGGUGACCGGCCACAUUGGGACUGAGAUACGGCCCAGACUCCUACGGGAGGCAGCAGUGGGGAAUAUUGCACAAUGGGCGGAAGCCUGAUGCAGCAACGCCGCGUGCGGGAUGACGGCCUUCGGGUUGUAAACCGCUUUCGCCCGUGACGAAGCGUGAGUGACGGUAAUGGGUAAAGAAGCACCGGCUAACUACGUG
rnacentral:rRNA from 1 species